GACGAACGCUGGCGGCGUGCUUAACACAUGCAAGUCGAGCGAUGAAGUUUCUUCGGAAGUGGAUUAGCGGCGAACGGGUGAGGAACACGUGAAGAAUCUGCCCUCCACUUUGGGAUAACACAGGGAAACCUGUGCUAAUACCGAAUAUUGAAACAUAAGUGGCAUCACUGAGUUUUGAAAGAAUUUCGGUGGAGGAUGACUUCGCGGCCUAUCAGCUAGUUGGUGAGGUAAUGGCUCACCAAGGCAACGACGGGUAGCCGGACUGCGAGGGCGACCGGCCACACUGGGACUGAGACACGGCCCAGACUCCUACGGGAGGCAGCAGUGGGGAAUAUUGGGCAAUGGAGGAAACUCUGACCCAGCGACGCCGCGUGCGGGAUGAAGGCCUUCGGGUUGUAAACCGCUUUCAGUAGGGAAGAGGCGAAAGUGACGGUACCUACAAAAGAAGCACCGGCUAACUGUGUGCCAGCCGCCGCCGUAA
rnacentral:rRNA from 1 species